AAGCCAUUCAGGGCUCAUCCGGAAUCCAGGAAGUGUUUGGAUAUUGGAAAAACAAAAACAAAAAAAAACCUUUGUUCUGUAAGACAGUAUAGAAAGUUGGGAGAAAGGUCUACUCCAGGAUCAAGACCUCCUGAAAGGGUCUCGAGGACCCCAAUGGUUCCUGGACCACACUUUGAAAACUAUGGAUCUGAAAAUAAUUUAGGAUUGCAUUUUCCUGUAAUGCCGCGUCUUAGCAAUGUGACCUUGGGAACUGGACCAACAGGACCCAAGGGAGAGUAUCAAAGGCAAAACAAAGGAAAAUGAGGACAACCCAAUACUCAGAAAAAAAAACGAGUAAUUCAUGGAUUCACAACGGGCAACAAACUAGAUGACUAUUAGGAAGAGAAGAGCAAACCUUAUGAUCUCAAAAUGAUUUCUUGUUCAUUUGCAUCCUCGCAUCAAUCUAGACUUUAAGAAAUAUGUGAUUUUUAAAUAAAUGGGUAUAUCUGC
rnacentral:lncRNA from 1 species